UAUUUACAUCUGGUGAAUAGUUCUCUUGAGGGGACCUUAAAUAACCUUCAAUGAAAUAAAUCUAGAACAAUCUUUUUUUUUCUGUUUCAGCCAAACGCCCUCCAUCCCGUAAGUAGAACUUGAUUUUAUUAUAUUAAGUUUGACCUUAAAUGAACUCUGUAAAUGAAAAAGGGUUUCUGGAGUGUUUUCUGGUGUAAAUGAUGGUUUCAGAGUCGGAUGUGUGCUAACAUUGUGUUUCUGAUCUUACAGCGGUAAACGACCCGGCUGUGCAACAAAUGAUGCUUCCAAAUCAAAAUACCUAAAGACAAAGAGAGGACCCUGAACCCAGUUUACGGGUACGUUCUGCACUGAAACAAGGAGCAGACCGACACGCUCUCCUCAGAAUUCAUUGGCUCUCAUCGUAUCAGACAUGAAGUGAUCAGAGUUGGGAAUUUAAAUUUAAAUCUUUGAAAUACAAAGAAAACAAGUUUGAAAAAGAGUUGACAAAUGCUUUACAAAUCUUGAUGAUUUAUUUUUUGUCACCUGGAGAGAAGAGAAUCAGAAGAUGAAUCUAUGACGGCAUCACGCCGCUCUUCAUGUGUUGAAGAAAGAUUUGUGUGUUGAUCUAAAAUCCAUCAUAGUUGGAUUUUUCUACUUCUGGUGUUCAGAGCUUUGUGCUAAAACAAAUGUUGGUGAUAAAUACGUUAAUAAAGACACACACACACACACACACACACACACAC